rnacentral:rRNA from 1 species
UACGUAGGGGGCAAGCGUUGUCCGGAUUUAUUGGGCGUAAAGAGCGCGUAGGCGGUUCGGUAGGUCCGUUGUGAAAACUCGAGGCUCAACCUCGAGACGCCGAUGGAAACCAUCGAACUAGAGUCCGGAAGAGGAGAGUGGAAUUCCUGGUGUAGCGGUGAAAUGCGCAGAUAUCAGGAAGAACACCCGUGGCUAAGGCGGCUCUCUAGUACGGUACUGACGCUGAGACGCGAAAGCGUGGGGAGCGAACAGG